rnacentral:rRNA from 1 species
CGUUGCUCGGAAUCACUGGGCGUAAAGGGUGCGUAGGCGGGUCUUUGAGUCAGGGGUGAAAUCCUGGAGCUCAACUCCAGAACUGCCUUUGAUACUGAAGAUCUUGAGUUCGGGAGAGGUGAGUGGAACUGCGAGUGUAGAGGUGAAAUUCGUAGAUAUUCGCAAGAACACCAGUGGCGAAGGCGGCUCACUGGCCCGAUACUGACGCUGAGGCACGAAAGCGUGGGGAGCAAACCGG